rnacentral:rRNA from 1 species
CACGUAGGGGACGAGCGUUGUCCGGAUUCAUUGGGCGUAAAGCGCGCGUAGGCGGCUCGGAAAGUCGGUCGUGAAAUGCCGGGGCUCAACCCCGGGACUGCGUCCGAUACUCCCGAGCUGGAGGCAGGUAGGGGAGAUCGGAAUUCCUGGUGUAGCGGUGAAAUGCGCAGAUAUCAGGAGGAACACCGGUGGCGAAGGCGGAUCUCUGGGCCUUGCCUGACGCUGAGGCGCGAAAGCUAGGGGGGCGAACAGG